UUAACCCCUUUUCUUUCCUUGCGCAUUUGAGUACUGCAACUAAGAUGCAAGACGCACAAUCGUCUGCACAUUUGCAAAAAGCGAAUGUUUUUGACAAUUUCCCGUGAAGAAAUUGAAAUUAGUGCUGUUUAGAUGGUAUUGGCAAACUGUCAACACCCCCCCCCCCCCCCCCCUGGCAGAGAUCCUGCGUGCGCUACUGCUUUUCAGGGAUGUUGAUAACCGCCUGUGAUGAUUUUAGAAUGCCUGCCACAUGCACUUCUCCCCAUUUUAUUCAGUUGGAUAUUUCCUCAUGAUCGUCGUCAUAGUGAUCACCAGAAACUGUGUUGUCACAAAUCACCUUUUUAAAUUAUCUGAGACAGCCAUCAGUGAAACAGCUGGCAUAUAUUGCUAUCAGCACUGAACAUCUUUUUGCUUUGCUAUCACAGGCUAUCCUAUUAAAACCUCUACUCCACUAUCCUAUUAAAACCUCCAAAGUAUAUCUGUAUUGUGGAUUUGAUGCCGGGUCUGAGAUGUAAAUGCAAUUUCUUCCUUCAGAAAUCAGUACCUCCUCACACGGCCAGCAGUACUGUUCCCUAAGCAUGUUCAGUAAUGGCAGAGCACAGAGAGCCAUGGCAGUAGUGUAACUCUAAAGGGUCAAAUGUGUGGCACUUGCAGUGUAACACGUGAUGUUACCAACUUACAUGUGAGCACAAAAAAAAAAAAAUAAAGUGUAACAUAACCUUGAUGUAGUGUGACAUGUUCAUAAUCAGAAUGAGAAGCAUUUAUUAGUUGAGGUUAUAGUAAAAAUUUAGCACAAUGGUUUUUAUCCUUGGCACAUACAGCAUUACUUUGGUUGGCCAUCGUUAACUAGUGUAAAAGGAAAAACAGAAAGGUGCUUCAUUAAAGAAGAGUGUGGUGAAGUAUUUAUUCAUUCAAGAUGAAGAACAGUUGCACAAAUUGACAGUAGCGGCAAGUUUUCUUGCCUAUGUGAAAGGGCCCUUUGUAUCCACAUGUAUGCAAGAAAGUGUCCUUUUUUGCUUGUCUAUUUUGUUUGCACAGUUACCUGAGAAUGGCUGAAAAACUUCUUUGCUCGUGCUGUCAAGGGCUGUUUUGUAUCUGUGGGGUGUUGUAUGCUUAUCUCUAUUCCUUUUGGCUUCCUGAGUGUGUAACUUGUAUGUACGUAAUUGUUAAAUGCCUGUGGACAAACUAUUUAUUAGAAUAUCAGCCUAUAUAUAUAUAUAUAUGGGCUGAUAAUAUGUAAGGUUUGUAGAAUUUUUAAAUAUUGCCUCGUGCAGAUAACAUAAUUCUAGGCCUUCAGCUCAAUUCAGAGAGUUGGACAUUACCUGCAUCAGAAAUUGAAACACAUAUUCAAAUAAUUAGCAAGGUUUCACAAAUUAACUUAAUUACUUUAUUACUUUACGGCAAAUAUUUCAAUUUAAGGAUUAUAGCUAGUGAAUUUGGAAGGCUUAUCCGCUUGAAAUGUAUUUCCAGAAUGACAACAGUUAGGAGAUACGUGCCAUCAAACUCUCUCUAAAAAUUCACUUUGUUCCACUUACUUUUUUAGCAAAACAUUCUUUUGUGCAUUGAAGCACAAAGGCAACUGGAACGCCUAUGUAUUUCGUCUUGCACUUUGGGAAAUAAUAUCUCAAAGGUAGUGUCAUCCUGUAGAUUCAUUUCAAGUGGAUACCUCUUGCAAGCUUACCAGCUACAAUUUAUAAAUAGAAAUGCGUGCUGGCACGUAAAUUAAUUACUGAAGAAGUUAAUUAGUAAAUUUUUGUUAAAUAAUUGAAUAUGUGUUGCGAUUUCUCAGGAUAGUUAUGUUCGCCUCUUUGAAUAAUCCAGCUCAAGGACAAGAAUUAUGCUAGCAGCCACAGGGGAUUUUUUUAAAUUCUGUAAUCACCCCAUAUAUAUAUAUAUGGUCAAGAUUACCAAAAAUCGAGCUCCUUGGUUUCCCUUCUUCUCUCACACACAUAUAUAUAUAUAGAGCUCGAAGUUGUGGUUUUAUACCAGGCCACAUUUUGAUUGUAGUGAAAUGCAAAAAUGGUCACGUGCUUAUUGGUCAAAAUUAAUCUUGAGUCUCCUACUGUGGUGUGCCUCAUAAUCAGAUUGGGGCUUUGGCACGUAAAACCCCCAGCAUGUAACUUUAAUUUUUUAAAAACAAAGCUUGGGAGAGGGCUGACUUAGAAUUGAGAAAUUGGUGUGAGGACGCUCUUUAAGGCUGUGCAGAGUAACUGAUGUGAUGUUACACGGUGUGAAGGUGAUGCUACCUUUAAGCCAAAUUCCUGUUAUGUGCGUAAGAAUAAAUUAAAAGCAGUAAAAUUUCUUGUGGUUACAUAGAAAUAACUAGUAUACUUUAGCAGUGGCUAAAGCAUGCUUAUUUAUUCGACAUCAUGCAGUAUGGCAACUUUUUUGGUUAUGGUGUUUCACUGCUUUUGGUGUAUUAGAUUGCUUCACGAAAGUGGGCUUUUUAUGUGUUGUGCACCAUCAUAUUAAUCAUCUGCUACCAGCAUGGUAUGUAAAAAAAGUACAACACUUUAGUCUUGUUUGUGUUCUGGUAACCUAGAUUUCGUCUCUUGACAAUCCAAUUUCAGUGUAUCUGCUGAGAUUUGGGUAAAUAUGCCUUGUGAAAAUGGCAUGUUCAAAGGAAAGAGAAGAGGAGGUUUGUGUCAAAAGCAAAACCAGCUGAUUUGGAAAAGAAGCCAGAGGAGGCAUGUCUGAACACAGCAGACAACACACACAAAGGCACAAGGCAGUGUUCACUGGUUCCAGGCCCUUUGGCUUCAUUCAUCCACAGAACUCCGCAAGAAAGGAUGUGUCCAUGGCCUAGAGUGGCAAAAUGUUCUUAUGAUAUCUCUGGCAUUACUUGGUGUUGAUGGUCGAUGCAUGUAUGUUAUUUCAUUGCACCAUUUUUUCACUUCUCUGUUGCACUUUCUUUCUUUUAUUUCUUAAGCUUCAUUGCCUUGCACUUCGUUUUAGACUCUUGAUAAGGUAGUAACAUCCACAGAAGACUGAUAGAGGUGUGACGGUAUGUAGUGCUGUGGACAGCUCUACUAGUACUGGUGUUAUGUUCGUAUGCAUGCUGAAAUGGUUUGUACUUGAUACUUUUGUACUGCUUCUGAGAGAUGUUUCAAAUUGUGGAUGGCUCUUAUAUUUAUAUAUUUGACAGAAAACUUAAGUUGAUGACACUUAUUUUUAAUUAACUAAAGAAAACGAGCUCUUCAUUCUUGUUUAAUUGCAGUCUUUUGUGUGCUGUUGUGUACAAAUAAAACACAAAUAAGAAAGUAUAAAGUUGAAUGUUACUUGAGUUUUAUAGCACACUGCUAUGUGUCUUGUCCUCAAAGAUGGUGUAGGCCCAAACUGGAAUCAUGCCAAUAUCACACAAAGUAGCAAAAGGGUAAAGGAAAGAGCACAUUCUAGUUAGCCCUAACUUCUUUGUAUUUUAUUGUCAACGUUUGUACAUUGUGUGGUGGUUUUAAAAUGUGUGCCUGCUGCAAUAAGCGUGUUUGUAUGUAUCCCAGAGAUGUGUGCAGAAUAUUUUCUUGACUUAAAUAGUUUAAAGAAUGCAUUUAGUGGACAACCAACUGAAUGUCUGCAUGCCAUACCUUUUUCUAACAUUUUAUUCUUCACUAUGGCUUUUAUGGUAUGAUCUUUUGGGUUUGAUCAUGCAUACUGCCUCUCUAGAUCCUGUUGCGUGCACCAUAUUAAGAAUAAAAGGGCCAAAUUGAAGGCAAAUCAGCUUGUAAAGCCAUAUUCUGGCAGCACAUGUGUCCAAUGACGAUGCUCUCUGUACCAUUGGCACCCACUAAAUCGUUUUCAGUAUACUU